GACGAACGCUGGCGGCGUGCUUAACACAUGCAAGUCGAACGAAGAGCGAUGGAAGCUUGCUUCUAUCAAUCUUAGUGGCGAACGGGUGAGUAACGCGUAAUCAACCUGCCCUUCAGAGGGGGACAACAGUUGGAAACGACUGCUAAUACCGCAUACGAUCUAAUCUCGGCAUCGAGGAUAGAUGAAAGGUGGCCUCUACAUGUAAGCUAUCACUGAAGGAGGGGAUUGCGUCUGAUUAGCUAGUUGGAGGGGUAACGGCCCACCAAGGCGAUGAUCAGUAGCCGGUCUGAGAGGAUGAACGGCCACAUUGGGACUGAGACACGGCCCGGACUCCUACGGGAGGCAGCAGUGGGGAAUCUUCCGCAAUGGACGGAAGUCUGACGGAGCAACGCCGCGUGAGUGAUGACGGCCUUCGGGUUGUAAAGCUCUGUUAAUCGGGACGAAAGGCCUUCUUGCGAAUAGUGAGAAGGAUUGACGGUACCGGAAUAGAAAGCCACGGCUAACUACGUG
rnacentral:rRNA from 1 species